rnacentral:rRNA from 1 species
UACGUAGGGUGCUAGCGUUGUUCGGAAUCAUUGGGCGUAAAGCGCGUGCAGGCUGUUAAAUAAGUCGGAUGUGAAAUCCCUGGGCUCAACCGAGGAAGUGCAUUCGAAACUAUUUAGCUAGAAGAUGGUAGAGGAAGGUGGAAUUCCAAGUGUAGAGGUGAAAUUCGUAGAUAUUUGGAGGAAUACCGGUGGCGAAGGCGGCCUUCUGGGCCAUUCUUGACGCUGAGACGCGAAAGCGUGGGUAGCAAACAGG